rnacentral:lncRNA from 1 species
GGCAUCUCUUGUCUUCUUCCAGAAACCAUGACACUAUGGCAGGCCAACUUACUAGCUUUCAAGUAAGGUAACAUCUCAGACCAUCAUAGGUUUUGACAGGGGAAACUCUGAAGGACCACAGGAGUUGGAGGUUCCACGUAUCUCUAAGUAGUAACAUACGAUGGGUCCAAAACAGAAGAAAGAGAACUCAAGAUUCCCGAGCCACAGAGCUGUUGAUUGGAGGCUGACUCAGAGAAACCCUGGAUUCAGUGACAUACAGAGACAACAGGUACAGGAUCAGUAUGGGUUUUAAUUGAGGGGCUCGGCACCAAAUGACAGACUUGACACAUCCACCCCCACCAUGGAUGCUGUCCGUCCACUGUUGCACAAUGUCCUUCAGUGUCUAAUUUACAGAUCCAGCUGUAUUUCCCCUUCCACCUGCAUCCCUGAAGUUCCUCCCACCUGAAAACUUCACCUGACCCAAGAAAGCAAAGGAAAAAACCCGGAGAGCCAGCUCAUAGUCUGGUUCACUGUUUAACAGCCAGAAGCCAGAGCCUGCGUACUAGAAGUGGAUGCCCAGGAAGUACUUGUGAGCUGACUAAGAAUUCAAUGGAGGACCAGCCCUGUAAGAUUUGGAAGUGCAACACAGAAGCUCCAGGAAGGAUCCCUAGCUUCAGGGGAAUUUUGAUUCUCUCAGAGAGAAUAUUGUUCUUUCAUAAUAUCAUCUGCUUUGGAAAGAGUAUUCAAUUCCACAAUGCCAACAAUGAUCGCAUAGUACCUCUGUGGAGGGCAAGACCAACAUGAGCAGCAGAAGCCCUGGAGGGCUUCCUGGAGGAGGUGACUUUAGCGACACCUUCAAAACCAUGACAACGUGCACCUGGGUCUUUCUGAGGAGGACAGUGAACACUAGGAGAGGAGGGAAGUGAAAGGAGAAGCCGGGCAUGGGUGGGACUAGGCCAGAGCCCAGUGUGGUGACCACAGGGCCUCAGCAGUGCUAGGUAGACAGUGGGGUGUCACACUGCAGAGCCCCCAGAAGCCAAACAGAGGAGGCUAACUUUGAACAGAGCGGAGAGUCACCAUGGUGGUCAUCUUGAACAGGAGGGUGUUUCUAAAAAAGGGAGGUUUGGGGGAUUGCCCUGACAGAAAAUUGGAGAUGGGGGAGGUUCUUUUAAUAUGGUGAGGACAAGGAGUGGCUGGAACUGAAGCAUGUCUAGGACAAGGGCUGUUUUGUCUCUUGCACAAAUCCUGUGUUUAGUACCUGCAGUCUGCUCGUUAAUAAAGUGUAUGCUUAAGUUAAUGACAUUCAUUUUUAACCCUGGUCUCAGGCCAAUCAUGUUCACAGCCAAGGCCAUUUCCUAACAUUCGUAACUCCCUAAAGAAUAAAAUGAAGGAAG